UUGCAUGUACGUAGACUGCGAGCAAUCCCUCUAUUUUCCUUCGUUUUAUUGUUUCCCGGACUAAAACGAAGGAAAAUAGAGGCAUUGCUCGUAGUCUAGCAUGCGUAU